rnacentral:rRNA from 1 species
CAGUCGCCGCGGUAAUACGAAGGGUGCAAGCGUUAAUCGGAAUUACUGGGCGUAAAGCGUGCGUAGGCGGUUUGUUAAGUCUGCUGUGAAAUCCCCGGGCUCAACCUGGGAAUGGCAGUGGAUACUGGCAAGCUAGAGUGUGUCAGAGGAUGGUGGAAUUCCCGGUGUAGCGGUGAGAUGCGUAGAGAUCGGGAGGAACAUCAGUGGCGAAGGCGGCCAUCUGGGACAAUACUGACGCUGAGGCACGAAAGCGUGGGGAGCAAACAGGAUUAGAUACCCCCGUAGUCCCUGUCUCUUAUAC